GGGUGACCUGACUAACCCUUUGUUUUUUGUUUUUUUUUUUCAGAUAAGCGGACACAGUGUACCCCAGGCGGAGAGAAGUUGAAGCAGCCUGGUAAGAAGAUGGGGCCCAAUCGGUCUCGAGGGGUAGCGACUGAGCAGGGAGACGAGCGAGGCGAUACACAACCCUUUGCCCGUGUGCUGAAGGUGCCGAAGGUCCAUCCUAUAAGAGAUCAAGCUGAAGGAACCCGAGAUAACCAGGAUGAGGCAGUACAUCAGCACCAGCCUCCACAUCCGUGUUGUCUCACAGCGGCCGUCUGUCCACUUGAGGGUGUGUAGCAACGCUUCGGCGUGGAGUCUGAUGGGGUUUAGAGGUUUUUGGCUUUGCUUGUGAGCCAUCCCUAAAUGUUUGAGAGCUCAGUGUUUGAACAUUUACCCCUUUCAUUUGCAGGGGAGGCCUUGGGAGCAACUGAAGAGAGAGGAGC